ensembl:lncRNA
GGUUCUGCUGGUGCGAGCGCCUCCCUGGCUGAAGAUGGCAGGUUGGGAACGCUGGGUCGCUCCAGGCCGAGGGUUCCUCCUGCUCUGCAUUUUGACUCUGCAUUUUAGCUCUUGGAAUCCUGUUGCAUCAGCAGAGCAGAGCUCUACUCCUGCUAUGCUUUCGGUCACCACCCCCUCUGUUCCGGAGACUUCCCCUAUUUCCAGCACCUGGAUGGUCUCCAACCACUCUGCGAAUUGGACAGAAGACACACCUGUAAGGAAUCUGCCAUCAGCCAAAUACUGUCCAGGGUUUCUGCCAGGAGCCCAGAGAGUGGGAGGGGUGUGAGUGGGGAGCCGAGAGAAAAGCAGAGUUCCUUUGCGGCUCUGCUGGGAGGGCCGAGGCUCCUGGGGGGUGGCUGAUAAGAAGCUACCCUAGCUGACAAUUAAGGCUUCCCCCAAAGCUGGAUUUCCUGGUGCUGCAUGAGACCACAGAGUCCAUCCUAGGGCAGCUGAGCAGACACUGCCAGAGGCAGAGUGAGCCAUCUGCAAGGCAGCAGCAAAUGACAGCCGAGGGGAGCGCUGCUGGGUGCAGUGCCAGCGUGGGGCUGGCAUGGGCGGGGUCGGGCAGGUGGCAGGUCUGUGCCCUCGGAGUGUGUGUGCUCUUUCCGCAGCUCACCUGCCAGAGUUUUCAGUGCUCUGGAGAGAGAUGCUACCAGGACGAAGCUUAUGCCAAUCACACCGUGACCUGCCACAAUGAGACUCACUGUGAGCUCUAUCGUCUGACCCACACAAACUACACAGCCAAGUGCAGCAGUGAGUGUGGGAGAGGGAACGGCACCGAGAUGUGUGUGACCAACAGCAGCGUGAGCAUGAGCAAGUGCGUCCUGGAGUGCUGCAACUCGUCCCUGUGCCUGCAACUCAAUGCCACCACCUACGGUGACUUGCCGCCCACCACCACUCCAGCUCCCACAACCACCACCACGAAGCCCCCUCCCAGAAAUGGGAAAGUGUGCACAACCUUCUCCUGUAAUGGAGAUGGAUGCUUCAAAGGCCAGAAGUCUGCUGCUGAAUGCAUCGUUGGAUUAGACUUCUGUGAGAUGAAGAAGACUGGCUCAAAUUACGUGGCUGGAUGUAGCAAAGUCUGCAAGACCGCCAGCCCAGCCUGUACCACUGGAGCAGCUGGCCCCUGUUACCAGGAAUGCUGCCAAGCGACCCCUAAAACUAGCUGCCUGAAACUGGAUGGCAACGUGCACUUCAACGGCGCUGGGCAGGUGGCUCUGGCCCCAAUCCUGAAACUCCUGGCCUGUGGUGUGGGUCUUGUCAUGCAUUACAGCCUCUCCACUUUCCUUCAGGGUUAAGCAAUGACCCUCUGAGCUCUGUAGACUGACUAGGGAAGGAUUCAGGGGCACACACAAUAUUGGCUAAAACUGGCACAAGAUCUAGGGUUUCUGUACCUCUUAAAUUCAGCUAAGGUUGGCUAGAAAAUUCCAUCUAGUGAAUCAGCAUCACAGGAAGGGAGAUCGCUGGAACCCGCAGGCCUUCUCCUCUCUGUGCAGGCCUGGCUAGCACCCAUGGAAGUUAGUGGGUAGCACCCAUGGGUGUUUGUGAAAUACAGACCCCAGUGAGUGCAGCUGGGUAUGUCUACGCUGCAGUAGAACACCACUGCUGGCCCGUGUCAGAUGACUCCAGAACCCUGUGAGGUGGGAGGGUCCUAGAGCCUGGGCUUCUGCCUAAGCCCAGUCUCUACACUGUGAAUUUUACAGUCCCGCACCCUGAGCCCCACGAGCCUGAGUCAGCUGCCGUGGGCCAGCCACAGGUGUCCUACUGCAGUGUAGACAGACCCUUAGUCUCUCCCAUGUGGAUUCUCCAAUUUGAUACAGGGGAGGGUGGAAACUAGUGGCCAUGGGGAUGGAUGUGGGGCUCCCAGACCUGUGGAGAGGGUAGGCAUUGUGCCACAUGCUUCCUUCUUGCCAGACUGACUCCUGACUAUGCUGCCUCUGCAGAAGAGAUUAGGAGCUGGCUAGCUGCUGUGGGGCAGCCCUCAGUGAAACCCCCUCCCUUCUGAGCGCUAGUCAUUCAGUGCCAGCACCUCUUCCUGUCUCAUGGGGGUGAAGAGGGCAAACUCCAGCCACUAUGGGACUCUGUGAAUUACUCUGCCACCGUUCACACCUUGUUUGCAUGUAAAGCAGCUGUCUGUGUAGCAGGGAGGGUGAUUGAGUGAAAUCACAGUCCUCUGCUGCACACACACCCCCAGCCCUCCCCCAAAGUAGGAAAACACUUUAAUGGGAGUAUCCGAGCAGGGAGAGCUUUCCCUUAUGAUUCUGAAGAGCAGCUCAGGUGCCUGUGCUAACCCAGGGA